UUGGCUAUAGCAAAGCGGUAAGGCACCGGUUUUUGGUACCGUCAUGCGUCGGUUCGAAGCAAGCUAGCCCAA
rnacentral:tRNA from 1 species